UGGGGAAUUUUGGGCAAUGGGCGAAAGCCUGACCCAGCAACGCCGCGUGAAGGAUGAAGUAUUUCGGUAUGUAAACUUCGAAAGAAUAGGAAGAAUAAAUGACGGUACUAUUUAUAAGGUCCGGCUAACUACGUGCCAGCAGCCGCGGUAAUACGUAGGGACCAAGCGUUGUUCGGAUUUACUGGGCGUAAAGGGCGCGUAGGCGGCAAUUCAAGUCAUCUGUGAAAUCUCCGGGCUUAACUCGGAACGGUCAGAUGAUACUGCUUUGCUAGAGUGCAGAAGGGGCAAUCGGAAUUCUUGGUGUAGCGGUGAAAUGCGUAGAUAUCAAGAGGAACACCUGAGGUGAAGACGGGUUGCUGGGCUGACACUGACGCUGAGGCGCGAAAGCCAGGGGAGCAAACGGGGAUUAGAUACCCAUGUAGUCCCUGAGCGGGCUGGCAAGGCGCAU
rnacentral:rRNA from 1 species